UGCACGAGGCGGAUGCCUUGGUACCUGUGAAUAGGACGUUAGACCACGAAAAGCCAUUGCCGAGUUUUGCAAUGGAUCUCCUAAGGGAAACCCACAAGGCUAAUAAACUGCCAAUGGAAACCACCGAGAGCAGCUUGAACAAAAUCAACCGAGAAGCCGAGAGUAGCGGUGAGCGAAAUCGGCCAAAGAAGGCCUUCGUUAUCAAAGAUCAAGUGGUCUUUAAAAUAAACUAUCCCCGAAACUUUUAGACAGAGGACAAUUCAGUUUUCUCUUAGAAAACCAUGUGGUCUUCUGCCUGGUUGGAAUACAGUUGCCAAAGAAGGUGAAAGCCCUGUAGGGCGAUGAUAGCAAAAAAGAAAGAUGCACUCGAAAAACUGUUCUGUGAACAGAGACUCUUUACAAAUAAAAACAAUUGGCACAAAAAAAAAUAAUACAACGAAGCAGAAACCACUGAGUUGGUACCGCUUUGGUUUGUUUGAGUUAUGAAGCCAGCUUUGGCAACCUCAAGGCCACAAUUCUGUCAGAGUCGAAUUGAAAAUGGGGGACUCCACCCUCCAAUCUUAUCAAAGCAGGUAACCGAUAGUGUACCAGUACCGUGAGGGAAAGGUGAAAAGAACAACCUCCUGGUUGUAGUGAAACAGAACUGAAACCUCGUGCA
rnacentral:ncRNA from 1 species